rnacentral:rRNA from 1 species
AUGGCACCCCCACUCCCUUUGGCAGCAUCUACUAAUUCGGAACUUAAUUUGAAAGCCAUAUUUCGACCUGGACGCUUUUGGGAUGCUUCUAAUAACCAACGAAUGGCAAGUGCUCUUCUUUUAGAUCCUAUUUCAAUCGGAACUUUCCGCGUCGAUCCUUUUUUAUUACGUCUUGUUUUACUCCUAUAUUGGGAGUUACUCUACGUAUUGCUUGACGUAAAACCAAUAGUGGAUUUAUUUCUGUCUUUUGUUGAAUCUUUUUCACGGCUCGAUAGAGAAUUUGAUAAGCCAAUGAUUUUUUUCCGUCUUUCAUAA